AACGAACGCUGGCGGCGUGGUUUAGGCAUGCAAGUCGAGCGAGAAAGUCCUUCGGGACGAGUACAGCGGCGAAAGGGUGAGUAAUAUAUAGGUAACCUACCUCUUGGACUCGGAUAAUUCCUGGAAACGGGUUGUAAUACGAGAUCGUCCUAUUGGGUCGCAUGGCCCGACUGGUAAAUGGUAGCUCUGCUUCUGCCGAGAGAGGGGCCCUAUAUCCUAUUAGCUAGUUGGUGAGGUAAUGGCUCACCAAGGCUUUGAUGGGUAGCCGGACUGAGAGGUUGGCCGGUCACACUGGGACUGAGACACUGCCCAGACUCCUACGGGAGGCUGCAGUCGAGAAUCUUCCGCAAUGGGCGAAAGCCUGACGGGGCGACGCCGCGUGAACG
rnacentral:rRNA from 1 species